UACGUAGGCAGCGAGCGUUGUUCGGAAUUACUGGGCGUAAAGCGCACGUAGGCGGCUUUGUAAGUAAGAGGUGAAAGCCCAGAGCUCAACUCUGGAAUUGCCUUUUAGACUGCAUCGCUUGAAUCAUGGAGAGGUCAGUGGAAUUCCGAGUGUAGAGGUGAAAUUCGUAGAUAUUCGGAAGAACACCAGUGGCGAAGGCGGCUGACUGGACAUGUAUUGACGCUGAGGUGCGAAAGCGUGGGGAGCAAACAGG
rnacentral:rRNA from 1 species